CAAUAGCGUAUAUUAAAGUUGUUGCAGUUAAAAAGCUCGUAGUUGGAUUUCUGGCAUGAUGCGCCUGGCCCGCUCCGAUUACGGAUGUGUGUGCUAGUGCGCGUCUGCCAUCCAUUUACAGAAUGUAUCUACCCUUCAUUGGGCCGGAUAUGUGAUGUAAAUCUUUUUACUUUGAAAAAAUUAGAGUGUUUAAAGCAGGCAUUUUGCUAUGAAUACAUUAGCAUGGGAUAAUAGCAUCGGACCUCGUUCCAAAGCUGUUGGUUUCUUGGACCGAGGUAAAGGUGAAUAGGGAUUGUUGGGGGCAUUCGUAUUUGACUGUCAGAGGUGAAAUUCUUGGAUUUGUUGAAGACGGACUACUGCGAAAGCAUCUGCCAAAGAUGUUCUCAUUGAUCAAGAACGAAAGUUAGGUGAUCGAAGAUGAUUAGAU
rnacentral:rRNA from 1 species